rnacentral:rRNA from 1 species
GUCCUUGGCUCAUCGGAAGAGCGCGCCUUCUCCUUGGACCAGUCCCUCCUGCGCGCGGCACCAUUCGACCUAUCUAACUUGGAAGCUCCUUUCACGGAGGACGAGAUUUGGCGUGCCGUUAAAAGCCUACCGACCGGAAAGGCUCCCGGCCCGGAUGGGUUCACGGCCGAGUUCCUUCGUGCCUGUUGGGAUAUCAUCAAGCACGUCAUCUGCGAGGCUUUUGAGAAGCUAUACACCGCCAAUGGGCGUGGGUUCCAAAAGCUAAAUGAAGCUCCCCUCACUCUCCUACCCAAGCGGCCGGACGCCGCUGCCCUAUCCGACUAUCGCCCCAUUAGCCUUAUCCACCUCAUUGCAAAACUCUUUGCGAAGGUGUUGUCUCUGCGGCUCGCCCCUCGGCUCGGGACCAUGGUUUCGACUAACCAGAGCGCCUUCAUCUCCGGCCGAUGUAUCCAUGACAACUUCCUGCUUGUUCAACAGACAGCGCGUCUC